rnacentral:rRNA from 1 species
AGUGAACGCUGGCGGUAGGCCUAACACAUGCAAGUCGAACGGCAGCACAGUAAGAGCUUGCUCUUACGGGUGGCGAGUGGCGGACGGGUGAGGAAUACACCGGAAUCUACUUUUUCGUGGGGGAUAACGUAGGGAAACUUACGCUAAUACCGCAUACGACCUACGGGUGAAAGCAGGGGAUCUUCGGACCUUGCGCGAUUGAAUGAGCCGAUGUCGGAUUAGCUAGUUGGCGGGGUAAAGGCCCACCAAGGCGACGAUGCGUAGCUGGUCUGAGAGGGUGAUCAGCCACCCUGGAACUGAGGCACGGUCCAGACUCCUACGGGAGGCAGCAGUGGGGAAUAUUGGACAAGGGGCGCAAGCCGGAUCCUGCCAUACCGCGUGGGUGAAGAAGGCCUUCUGGUUGUAAAGCCCUUUUGUUGUGAAAGAAAAGCAGCAGGUUAAUACCCCGCUGUUCUGACGGUACCCAAAGAAUAAGCACCGGCUAACUUCGUG